GUGCUCGCUUCAGCAGCACAUAUACUAAAAGUUGGAAUGAUACAGAGAAGAUUAGCAUGGCCCCUAUGCAAGGAUGACAUGCAAAAUCAUGAAGCGUUCCGUAUUUUU
rnacentral:snRNA from 1 species